rnacentral:rRNA from 1 species
GAUGAACGCUGGCGGCGUGCCUAAUACAUGCAAGUCGAGCGAACAGACGAGGAGCUUGCUCCUCUGACGUUAGCGGCGGACGGGUGAGUAACACGUGGAUAACCUACCUAUAAGACUGGGAUAACUUCGGGAAACCGGAGCUAAUACCGGAUAAUAUAUUGAACCGCAUGGUUCAAUAGUGAAAUACGGUUUUGCUGUCACUUAUAGAUGGAUCCGCGCCGCAUUAGCUAGUUGGUAAGGUAACGGCUUACCAAGGCGACGAUGCGUAGCCGACCUGAGAGGGUGAUCGGCCACACUGGAACUGAGACACGGUCCAGACUCCUACGGGAGGAAGCAGUAGGGAAUCUUCCGCAAUGGGCGAAAGCCUGACGGAGCAACGCCGCGUGAGUGAUGAAGGUCUUCGGAUCGUAAAACUCUGUUAUUAGGGAAGAACAAAUGUGUAAGUAACUAUGCACGUCUUGACGGUACCUAAUCAGAAAGCCACGGCUAACUACGUG